ensembl:snRNA U6 U6 spliceosomal RNA
CUUUUCAUUCAAAAGCUUCACUGUAAGAAGAUUAGCAUGGACCCUGCUCAAGGAUGACAGGCAAAUUCGUAAAGCAUCUCAUAUAUAU